GAUCCUGGCUCAGAUUGAACGCUGGCGGCAGGCCUAACACAUGCAAGUCGAACGGUAACGAGGAAGAAGCUUGCUUCUUUGCUGACGAGUGGCGGACGGGUGAGUAAUGUCUGGGAAACUGCCUGAUGGAGGGGGAUAACUACUGGAAACGGUAGCUAAUACCGCAUAACGUCGCAAGACCAAAGAGGGGGGACCUUCGGACCUCUUGCCAUCGGAUGUGCCCAGAUGGGAUUAGCUAGUAGGUGGGGUAACGG
rnacentral:rRNA from 1 species